rnacentral:rRNA from 1 species
GGGAUGAACGCUGGCGGCGUGCCUAAUACAUGCAAGUCGAGCGGUAAGGCUUUCACAGAUUAUUUAACAGGAUAAGUCCUCUAGAGGAUACUGUCCACAAUGAUCACCAGGCUAGGUGAUCAUGGUUGAAUAAUGCGUGAAAGUACACGAGCGGCGGACGGCUGAGUAACGCGUAGGAAUGUACCCCAAAGUGAGGGAUAAGCACCAGAAAUGGUGUCUAAUACCGCAUGUGGUCUAAGGAUUAAAGCUUCGGCGCUUUGGGAACGGCCUGCGUAUGAUUAGCUUGUUGGUGAGGUAAUGGCUCACCAAGGCGACGAUCAUUAGCUGGUCUGAGAGGAUGAUCAGCCAGACUGGACUGAGACACGGCCCAGACUCCGUACGGGAGG